CAUGCAAGUCGAGGGGCAGCGGGAUUGAAGCUUGCUUCAAUUGCCGGCGACCGGCGCACGGGUGAGUAACGCGUAUCCAACCUUCCGUACACUCAGGGAUAGCCUUUCGAAAGAAAGAUUAAUACCUGAUGGUAUGAUGAGAUUGCAUGAUAGCAUCAUUAAAGAUUUAUCGGUGUACGAUGGGGAUGCGUUCCAUUAGGUAGUAGGCGGGGUAACGGCCCACCUAGCCAACGAUGGAUAGGGGUUCUGAGAGGAAGGUCCCCCACAUUGGAACUGAGACGCGGUCCAAACUCCUACGGGAGGCAGCAGUGAGGAAUAUUGGUCAAUGGACGAGAGUCUGAACCAGCCAAGUAGCGUGAAGGAUGAAGGUCUUACGGAUUGUAAACUUCUUUUAUAAGGGAAUAAAACCUCCCACGUGUGGGAGCUUGUAUGUACCUUAUGAAUAAGCAUCGGCUAACUCCGUGCCAGCAGCCGCGGUAAUACGGAGGAUGCGAGCGUUAUCCGGAUUUAUUGGGUUUAAAGGGAGCGCAGACGGGUCGUUAAGUCAGCUGUGAAAGUUUGGGGCUCAACCUUAAAAUUGCAGUUGAUACUGGCGUCCUUGAGUGCGGUUGAGGUGUGCGGAAUUCGUGGUGUAGCGGUGAAAUGCUUAGAUGUCACGAAGAACUCCGAUUGCGAAGGCAGCACA
rnacentral:rRNA from 1 species